rnacentral:rRNA from 1 species
CCUACGGUCGGCAGCAGUGGGGAAUAUUGCACAAUGGGGGGAACCCUGAUGCAGCGACGCCGCGUGGUUGAAGGAGUAUUUCGGUAUGUAAAGCCCUAUCAGCAGGGAAUAACAAUGACGGUACCUGACUAAUAAGCACCGGCUAAAUACGUGCCAGCAGCCGCGGUAAUACGUAUGGUGCAAGCGUUAUCCGGAUUUACUGGGUGUAAAGGGAGCGCAAGAGGCGCGUUAAGCCUGUUGUGAAAGUCCGCGGCUCAACCGUGGGACUGCAUUGGGAACUGGAGCGCUGGAGUGCCGGAGGGGUAGGCGGAAGUCCUAGUGUAGCGGUGAAAUGCGUAGCUAUUAGGAGGAACACCAGUGGCGCAGGCGGCCUACUGGACGGUGACUGACGCUGAGGCUCGAAAGCGUGGGGAGCAAACAGGAUUAGAUACCCCAGUAGUC